AUGAGGCAUUAAUCAAUGAAAAAGAAGAAAUUAUUUAAAAUAACAAAAAAAAUUAAAGCAAGAAAAUGAAACCUUAAAGAAGAAAGUUGAUAGCUUAAAAUCUUUGGUAGAAAAAUUCACCUGUAGUUCAGAAAAAUUACAAAUGAUAUUAAACAGCCAAAAAGGAGUUUAUGAUAAGGCUGGUUUGAGAUAUAAACCUAACAAUAAGCAAAAUUAUCUUAAAAAUUUUUUUCAGUAUCUUCAUCCACUUACAGCACAUCACAUAUAACUUGUUUUAGUAGUGGAA
rnacentral:lncRNA from 1 species